rnacentral:rRNA from 1 species
AUGGACUACCCCUCGCAGUCUGCCAUGGCCUAUGAUGGUUCCCCAACACUGUCUUCGCUUGACAACGGCAGCGUCACUACCGCUGAUGCUGGUUUACAGCCAUCAGAUCUCACAUUCUCUGCAUUUUACCCACUGGACUGUUCACUUCUUCUGGAUGAGGAGCUGCCUUUUGUUGUUAAUCAAAACUCUGCCGCAAUUAAUGAUUCCCAUGAUGUAGAGAGCAAGGUCGAUUAUGUUCCUCUCAGAAUCGUUAGGCCAGAGGGCACGGAGAUUCAAGGAAAAAAUCGCCCUGAUGUUCGUUAUAAACCAACGGCUCAGAAAACUACAACUUUCAAAAAAAAGAGAGGAUUCCCGACAUGUUUCAAGGUUGCCAAGAGUGACAAGGAUGAUACUUUUGUGUCGACGAGGAAGAGAGGCAGGCCAGCAGGUUCCAAACCUGCUAAGAGAAAGAUGGAGCAGAAAAUGGCAUGGAAACCGGCAUUGGUUGACGACAUUCAUAACUCGGAUUUGAGAGACGAUACAGAGACAAAGAGGAAGAGAGGCGGGCCAGCGGGUUCCAAACCUGCUAAGAGAAGGAUGGAGCAGAAAAUGGCACAGAAACCGGCAAUUGUUGACGACAUUCAGCACUCCAAUUUGACAAAGGUGAAAUUGCCAGGAGAAUAUCACAGCUUCACCAAGCGUAUGUUAAAAUCUCAUGUAGUUCAAGGCUUUUAUCUGGGUCUCCCGGGUAGCUUUUGCACAGCGCAUCUUCCAAAGGAGAAUAGUACAAUCACAUUAGAAGAUGAGCAUGGGGAGAGCUAUGAUACAAAUUACCUACACGACAGGAAGGCGCUGAGCGGUGGGUGGGGAGAAUUUGCGCACGAGGCAGAAGGUUCAGAACAUGGUGUCAAUUCUAAAGAUCAUCUAGAGGUUACCGCUGGAGACAACAGCUCAACAUCAAGCAUGAUGGCAACAACCUUGUUUGCGAGGGAAGGAGGAGUAUGCAUCGACAAACACGACGUGAGAUCUCCAUAUCCAGGUCUCGGUGACGUGGAGAACUUCCAAGUCAUCCUCCAUGGCUCGAUCAUCAACCUCCCGGACGGCCUGCGCAGGAGGUACUAUGAGCUCUGCUGUUCCCAGAAGGCGGUCCUCCACAGGAACCUGCUCGAGACAAACGAUAUCCUGGCUGAAGGGAUGAUCACGGAGACCAGCCACAUGGCCGAGUGCGUCAUGACCCCCUUCAUGCUGCUGCUGCUACUUCUUCUCGCGAGGUUCUCCUGGUGUGGAAGAAGACGCUGGGGGCAUUGGAGGUUUUUGGAAUGGACGUGGCCUUCUUGCGCAGACGCGUCGAUGACCUUCUCGCCAUCCACGCUGCCCGGGCAUCGACGGUUCGAGUUUACAGCCGCUGCCGGUGGGGACUCUAAAGAAUGUUGUGGAGGCAAUGGAUGUGGAGAUGGAAGAGUUUGGAUGAGAGGAAUGCCCAAGCAUGGCAACUGA